UUACAGUGGCUACUACAUCAGGUGCACUCUCUUCUUCCUGGCAGGAAUAUUUUAGAAGGCUUUACCAAGAAUGUGGAAUUACACUAUGGCUUUAAGAAUUUGGCCAGAAAGAGGUCAGAGGAGGACAGAGCAAACUUCAGAAAUAGACAAGGUCUUACUCUGCUACCCAAGCUGGAGUGCAAUGGUAUGAUCAUAGCUUACUACAGCAUUGAACUUCUGGAUUCAAGAGAUUCCCCCACGUUGGCCACCCAAGUAGCUGGAACUACAGGCAUGUACCAUCACACCCAGCUUAUAUAUGUAUAUAAUUAUUUUUGGAGAUACAGGAUCUCACUACAUUGCCCAAGCUGGUCUCAAACUCCUGGCCUCAAGAUGAUCCUUCUGCUUCUGCCUCUCAAAGUGCUGGGAUUAUAGGCAUAAACCACCAUGC
rnacentral:lncRNA from 1 species